CGCUGGGCUGGAUGGUACCAAAAUUUCCCGCCACCACAGUGAGCGAAGAUCUAGCUUGGGGGAGAUCCUCUCCCCCACUAAGGUAAGUAUUCUAUCCUAUUUAUUUUCAUGCAUUUUAUCAUUCUUACUUAAAAAAAAAUAAUAAUAAUAAUAAAUAUUUAUUAGCAUUUCCCUUUAGCAUAUAUGCUUCAUGUAUGUUUAUAUCCCUCAUGGAAAUUAUGACUAGUUGCUUGUUAAUGUUUCUCUAGUGCCUAGUAUACAACUUAGUAUUUCUCUAAGUAUGGAUCACUUAGCUCACUUAAACUGCCAUGAACCUAAAAACUUUGUGGGUUGCAAGUGCUAGAACUAAGUCUAAGUUGUUGUGGGACAUGAGAUAGUAAGACAAGAGCUACUAUAAUAUUUUUCUAAGCAUGCAUGAUUAUCAGAGAUUUAUUCUUAAAAUGAUCAAAACCUUAAUUGUUCCUCAAUGGUGAUGAAUUCCUACCACAGCCAUAUCUACUUUACAUAAUUGCAACCUUUCCACAUAAGCUAUUUGCUUUGUGUUGAGUGUCGUCAAGUCUUGUUGACCCUUGUUAAGAGACUUUUCAUGCUCCUAAGAUCAAGAUCACGUACACACCACAUAUAUAUAUGCUGCUUCUACACUGGAAGUACGCAACCACAUGUAUUUCGCAUCCACUAAAUAGGUUGCUCCAUACUCUAAAUGUUAGAACAUCUCUCUAAGCAUUAUUUGGUAAAUGAGACAUCAAAAGGCUAGGCAAAAUGAAAUAAAAAGAUGGACAUGUGCAAGUCCACAGAAAAAGAAAAUUGAGCACAUGAAAGCUCAUAUAUAAAAAAAAGAAAAAAAUGCUAGCCAUGUCUCAAUACAUAGAGAGUCUAUCAAAUAAAGGAGCAACCUAGUCCACCAUAUAUCACACUUGCACAUCUUGAUCUGGGAGUAUGACACUUCUCUUCAAGGAUCCGAGCUUUGACUUCGCAAUACAUGCAAAGUAAGUAUGCUAUCUCCUUUCAUCCCUACCUUGAACUCCACAUAAGCCUUUUAGAAAUAGGAUGAAAUAGAGAAGGCAACUCUUACCAUAUGCCUUGGUGAGGAAUCAUACACCAUUUGAGUGAUAUGAGAGAACCAUAAGAGGAAAUUUAAGCUUUCUUUUGAAAAUAUCACAAAACCUCUGAUAUGAAACUUGCUAAGAAUGAGAAAGUUAGUGCUCAAGUCAAACUGUUCUGUCUCUCAACCACCUAAGACAAAGGAAAAGCCAUAAGCCCCAUAAGGGACUAAGGUAAUAGGGGUAAGUUUACAUAGCUAAAUU
rnacentral:lncRNA from 1 species